UACAUCAAUUUCAGAUCUCACCCGGCCGGCUAAACCCUAGCUAAUCCGUACGAGACUCACUAUAAAUACACGGCCACGGCCAUCUCUUUCCUCCGUUGUCACCUCGCGCCGCCGUGCUUCUUGCUCGAUCGGUUUGUUAUCCAUCGAAUCGACGUAAGGUGCGUAUACGUACGACCAUGUGUUCAUCUCAUUCUCUCACUGAAUUCUCCUCGUCUUAUUUCCUGCUCUGGGUGGUCUCAGCAGUCAGCACCCUUUCUUUCCAUUAAUAAUCAUAAUAAGUUAAUAACAAUCGAUCGAUGAAAGGCUAGCACGAUUCUGUUCACUCAUGUCGAUCGUGUUUGUCCGUUUGAUUCCACUUCCACCCAACGUUGGAUCAGUGGACAAAAACCGAAGCGAUCUUGAGUCCAGAACAAGAUGACUUCAUGCGCGCAGGCGCAGCCAAGCAUUUGGUCUCUCGAUCGUGAAUCCAAGAUUUACUUUGUUUGAGAUCAUAGAAGCGCCGCAACUUCACCUUGGUUAACGCUCGGUGGUAUCUGUACUUUUUUUAAUUUUUUAAUAUGAUGUGGUAUGUAUUUUCUUCGUUUCAAAUUACUCGUCACUGAAAUUGAUGUAUCUAAAACUAAAAUACAUCUACAUACAUCUAUACGUGCGACAAGUAAUUCGGAACGAAGGGAGUAUCUAAUAUUGCAGGUAUAGUACAAAGAAACCGUGAUUUAAUGGGGGAGCCCGGAGAAGGAGCUUUGUUGGGACCCGCCAGAGCGCCCUUGGACCCUCACGCAAACCUUGUUGAAGCUGAGGAGUCGAAUCCGGUUGCCGAAGUUACCGCAUCAUCAUCAUUGGAAUUGGAAAAAGAGAAGGUUGAACGAGGCAACGCAAGGAAAAAAAAUAAAGCGAUCAACCAACGCAGACAUGACGAAAUACCAGUGGUGCUCAUGGCCAGGUGUUGUUGGUCUCAAGGCGGACAAGGCCAAGAGGAUCAUCAGGAAAGGCAAGCCGGACCUCUUUUGUUCAGUGGUUCCACAAAACCAGUUUCUGACCAUGGCCUACUGCACGAAUCGUGUUAGGCUCAUAGUGGACAGAUCCAACCGUGUAGUGCGAACUCCCCGUGUUGGUUAGUGAACAACGAAGUAAAAAAGAGAAUCAAGUGCUUAAUUCAGAUGUGCUUACUGAAUUAUAUUCUCUAUAUCUUCAUGUCCUCGAUCGUAGUAGGAAAGAUGAUCGUAGUAACAAACUCCCCGUGUUGGUUAGUUAACAUCAAGUGAACAACAAAGUAAAGGAAAAGGAAUCAAGUGCUUAAGUCA